UCCUUAUCCGCUGUGGGCGCAGGAAAAGUGAGGGGUUCAGACCUUAGUACGAGAGGACCGGGUCUGACGAACCGCUGGUGUUCCAGUUGUCGUGUCAACGGCACUGCUGGGUAGCUAUGUUCGGAAAGGAUAAGCGCUGAAAGCAUCUAAGCGCCAAGCCUCUCCCAAGAUGACUUUUCCCUGAAGGGUCGUGGUAGACCACCACGUUGAUAGACCACGGGUAGAAGCAUGGUAACAUGUUUUAGCUCAGUGGCACUAAUCUCCCGUCCGGCUUGAUCUUCCCCC
rnacentral:rRNA from 1 species